GCUGUACUUCAGUGGCAGAGCAUCUGCUUUGCAUGCAGAAGGCCCCAGGGGGUCAAUCCCAGGCAUCUCCA